UCUCUCUCAGGAAAUUAUAUUGGAAUGCAUGUGAGAAAGUGAUUUCUAAAAUGCCUCAUAAUGGUCUGUGUGGGUAUACAUACAUAUACACAGAUAAAUAAUUCAAAACUUUGGUACCUUAUUGUAGAUGUUUGUUCCUUGAACAUCUUGCAUACCAAGAUAAAUUAUUUUGGAUCACCUAAUAUCAAAAAGUGACAUACCCAAACCAAACCAAAACAAAAAAACAAAAUGUGGAUAGGCAUGGUAGCUGACGCCUGUAAUCCCAGCACUUUUGGAGGCUGAGGUGGGAGAACUCAGGAGUUUAAGACCAGCCUGAGCAACAUAGCAAGACCUCGUCUCUGCUAAAGAAAAAAUAAAAUGGGAGGUGGGGUGCCAGCCACAGUGGCUGAUGCCUGUAAUUCUGGCACUUUGGGAGGCCAAGGCAGGUGGAUCACUUGAGGUCAGGAGCUCAAGUGAUCCUCCCGCUUCAGUCUCCCAAGGUGCUGGGAUUACAGGUGUGAGCCUGUGUGCCUGGCCACAUUUUACUUUUCUUAGAGCAUAUUUAACACUUGGGUUUAUAUUUCACUAUUUGUGUAUCUUU
rnacentral:lncRNA from 1 species